UGACUAAGUACAUCAUCGGAUGUAUGGCCCUGAUAGGAUUCAUGAUUCUACCUGCAGUAUUCAUAUUCUACAUCACCUGUCUCCUCUCACUGAAAGCAAAGAGGAACGGACACCUCGUCAUAACAAGAUCGCCCAGUGACCAGACAUUGCCAGGAGACACUACCGUAACAAGAAGGUGAAGAUGAUUGGUGCUAUGCCACCGUGUCCCAUGCUGAUGCUCCUCCAUCCUACUCAGUCAAGUUUGAGGAAGGCCAUGACUAUGCCACAAUGGUCAUAUACUGACCAGCAUGUGCCGACCUGAAUGGACAUGAAAGGACUUCCACAUAGAUAGAUUGUUUGACUUUAACACCUCCAUUUAAAUUUUCUUUCCAAUAAAUCAAUUGCACUAAUCUA